ACUCCUACGGGAGGCAGCAGUGGGGAAUAUUGCACAAUGGGCGCAAGCCUGAUGCAGCCAUGCCGCGUGUAUGAAGAAGGCCUUCGGGUUGUAAAGUACUUUUCAGCAGUGAGGAAGGUGGAUAUGUUAAUAGCAUAUUCAUUUGACGUUAGCUGCAGAAGAAGCACCGGCUAACUCCGUGCCAGCAGCCGCGGUAAUACGGAGGGUGCGAGCGUUAAUCGGAAUUACUGGGCGUAAAGCGCAUGCAGGUGGUUUGUUAAGUCAGAUGUGAAAGCCCGGGGCUCAACCUCGGAAUUGCAUUUGAAACUGGCAAACUAGAGUACUGUAGAGGGGGGUAGAAUUUCAGGUGUAGCGGUGAAAUGCGUAGAGAUCUGAAGGAAUACCGGUGGCGAAGGCGGCCCCCUGGACAGAUACUGACACUCAGAUGCGAAAGCGUGGGGAGCAAACAGGAUUAGAUACCCUGGUAGGCUCUAGC
rnacentral:rRNA from 1 species